rnacentral:rRNA from 1 species
AAUCGCGGAUCAGCAUGCCGCGGUGAAUACGUUCCCUGGCCUUGUACACACCGCCCGUCACACCAUGGGAGCCGGUAAUACCCGAAGUCAGUAGCCUAACCGCAAGGGGGGCGCUGCCGAAGGUAGGAUUGGCGACUGGGGUGAAGUCGUAACAAGGUAGC